rnacentral:rRNA from 1 species
UGCAGUCGAACGAUGAUCCUCAGCUUGCUGGGGGGAUUAGUGGCGAACGGGUGAGUAACACGUGAGUAACCUGCCCUUGACUCUGGGAUAAGCCUGGGAAACUGGGUCUAAUACCGGAUAUGACUGCUCCGCGCAUGCGGUGGUGGUGGAAAGCUUUUGCGGUUUUGGAUGGACUCGCGGCCUAUCAGCUUGUUGGUGGGGUAAUGGCCUACCAAGGCGACGACGGGUAGCCGGCCUGAGAGGGUGACCGGCCACACUGGGACUGAGACACGGCCCAGACUCCUACGGGAGGCAGCAGUGGGGAAUAUUGCACAAUGGGCGAAAGCCUGAUGCAGCGACGCCGCGUGAGGGAUGACGGCCUUCGGGUUGUAAACCUCUUUCAGUAGGGAAGAAGCGAAAGUGACGGUACCUGCAGAAGAAGCGCCGGCUAACUACGUGCCAGCAGCCGCGGUAAUACGUAGGGCGCAAGCGUUAUCCGGAAUUAUUGGGCGUAAAGAGCUCGUAGGCGGUUUGUCGCGUCUGCUGUGAAAGACCGGGGCUCAACUCCGGUUCUGCAGUGGGUACGGGCAGACUAGAGUGAUGUAGGGGAGACUGGAAUUCCUGGUGUAGCGGUGAAAUGCGCAGAUAUCAGGAGGAACACCGAUGGCGAAGGCAGGUCUCUGGGCAUUAACUGACGCUGAGGAGCGAAAGCAUGGGGAGCGAACAGGAUUAGAUACCCUGGUAGUCCAUGCCGUAAACGUUGGGCACUAGGUGUGGGGGACAUUCCACGUUUUCCGCGCCGUAGCUAACGCAUUAAGUGCCCCGCCUGGGGAGUACGGCCGCAAGGCUAAAACUCAAAGGAAUUGACGGG